rnacentral:rRNA from 1 species
UACGUAGGGUGCAAGCGUUGUCCGGAUUUACUGGGCGUAAAGAGCGCGUAGGCGGUCUGUUAAGUGUAGCGUGAAAUCUCCAGGGCUCAACCCGGAAACUGCUCUGCAUACUGGCAGACUGGAGGGACUGAGAGGUGAAUGGAAUUCCUGGUGUAGCGGUGAAAUGCGUAGAUAUCAGGAGGAACACCCAUGGCGAAGGCAGUUCACUGGCAGUCUCCUGACGCUGAGGAGCGAAAGCGUGGGUAGCAAACAGG